GACGAACGCUGGCGGCGUGCCUAAUACAUGCAAGUAGAACGCUGAAGGAGGAGCUUGCUUCUCUGGAUGAGUUGCGAACGGGUGAGUAACGCGUAGGUAACCUGCCUGGUAGCGGGGGAUAACUAUUGGAAACGAUAGCUAAUACCGCAUAAGAGUAGAUGUCGCAUGACAUUUGCUUAAAAGGUGCAAUUGCAUCACUACCAGAUGGACCUGCGUUGUAUUAGCUAGUUGGUGAGGUAACGGCUCACCAAGGCAACGAUACAUAGCCGACCUGAGAGGGUGAUCGGCCACACUGGGACUGAGACACGGCCCAGACUCCUACGGGAGGCAGCAGUAGGGAAUCUUCGGCAAUGGACGGAAGUCUGACCGAUCAACGCCGCGUGAGUGAAGAAGGUUUUCGGAUCGUAAAGCUCUGUUGUAAGAGAAGAACGAGUGUGAGAGUGGAAAGUUCACACUGUGACGGUAUCUGACCAGAAAGGGACGGCUAACUACGUG
rnacentral:rRNA from 1 species